AAUAUUGCUAUUGCGAAAUUAUACAACUUAAAUAAAAUCUUCCAUGAUUAUUAAAAUAUCAAACCAUAAUCAACACAAACAUGAUUUUUGUUCCAAUGAUCAAGCGUUGACAACUUCAUGAAUAUAUAUAAUGAUUAUGUUUUCUCCACCACUGGCCCACUGUGAUAUGCCUAUGCCAUUUUUUGUAACGUUUCGCAUUUAUGCCAGUUUGCACUUAUGAAAUUCGCACAUAUUCAGUCUUCCAAUAAUUUUGUUACGUAAAUAUGCGACGAAAGUUAAACUACCACCUUUAAUGGAAAACAUGCACCUGUGGAAGUUUUAGGGAAGUAGAAGAGUCGUUAGUUUGAAAAAAAAUACACAACCUAAAAAACUGAGGAAGUAGCAGUCAUUGACAGCAAUUUCUUUAGGUCGCUGAAGACAUGUGAGCUACCAAAUACUCAACUUGCUAAUAAUAAAGAGUGGGGAGAAGUGAGACACGUAUCCCAAGAAAACUUAACGGUCUUGUCGCAGAGCACCGCGGAAGAGCAUUAAAUUAGAAAGAUCGCGUCUCCUUCCUUACUGAUGGCGCAAAGUGUGCCUAGAGCUCACAUUGAAACCAUGGAUCUCUUGCCUCUAAAGCAAGCGCUCUAACAACUGCGCAACGGCCGCUCAAUAUGGUUAACCAAUAUUGUACUUAUAGGUUUAUAAAAUAGUAUAAUAUAUGUAUAUUUUACUGAUAUAAUUAAAAAGUUAAAAGCUAUAUUUUA
rnacentral:lncRNA from 1 species